AAUGUGUGGUGUUGAAGUUUCUGUUGCCGAUGGAUUCGGAUCCCCGGCCCUUGGAAAGCUAAAUGCAGAGAGAGAGGAAGCGCACCAAAGAGCAGCACAGGAGGGGAGCAGAGCACCGUAAGGAGGUGGCGGUCAGGCCUCGGCACGGCAGGCCGAAGAAUCUGACUCCGAGCGGCCGAGGAAAAGGGACGGGCGAGAGGAAGGCGUUUCCAAGGAGGGCUUCGUCGCAGCGGAGGUCGACGCCGGGCG